CUCUUACACACAACAGCUGUUUAGUAAGGAGUAGUCGUCGUGCAGAUUUCGGUUUGGAAACACAUGGUCACAGAAAACCAGCUCUGAAGUGGCUCCCUCACCAUUCUCACUCCCUGUGUCAGUCAUACAAGGACAGGAGACCAACUCACCGCUGGACCUGUGGCUUGGUACGGAGUUGCAGGCACACGCUGUUAUGCUUGGUGUUGGCAGGGCUCUUUGGAAGCCAGCUGGCGGUGCGGUUGCCCCAGUGCCUGCUGGUGUGUGCAGGUGCCCACACUUGCUUAUUAUUGCUUCCCCAGCCUGGAAAGAACUCUGCUGGGCAUGGUCAACCUCACGACUCAUCCCGGCUGGAGCUCACACUGCCCUAGCAUGGAACCCCAGUCUCUCUGCACCCAGGAUCUCAGCGGACUGAUGGAGGUGAUCUCGUCGUUCUACGUAACUCCUUCACGGGGAAAGGAGUCAUCAAGAACACUGUCAUCUGUCUGCCUCACCUGCCCCACCAGAUGACAACCCCGAUCAGAUCAAGCAACCCAGCCAGAACAGCACUGAUUGCAUUUCUACACUACAGCUUUUUCAUUGUGAAAUGUAGUAGAGAUAAUGGAAAUAAGUUUAGUGUGUGUGCCUUGCUUGGGCAUUUUUCUCCUUUUUGUUGGUGCAUUCAGACUGUAUAUCUGGAGACAUGUAUUUGCAGUGUGUCGUGAAUAGGUGUAAUAGGUGGCAGGGAAGUCAGGCGCAGGAGAGUCAAAUGGAGUGUAAAAUGGAGUUUUUUAAUAAAGUUCCAAGAGUA